GGUUGCGAUCAUACCAGCACUAAUGCACCGGAUCCCAUCAGAACUCCGCAGUUAAGCGUGCUUGGGCGAGAGUAGUACUAGGAUGGGUGACCCCCUGGGAAGUCCUCGUGUUGAAACCC
rnacentral:rRNA from 1 species